ACAGUACAAAAUACCAACUUGAAAAUUGCAUGUAAAAACAUACUUUCAGUAAAAAAAAAUAGUUUCUUAUAAUACAAAAUACCUACUUGAUUUAAAAGUUUGUUUCAUAGAAAAGUAUUUUACUAAAAGCAUACUUUCACACACAUUUGACUGGACUUGUAUGAUAUCUACAGAAUUGUGUGAGGAUAUUUAACCCAAGUACCCAAUAAGUACAACCUUGAAACUACAUCACAAGAAAGCAGUAGUGACCAUCAAUCCUGUAUCUAACAUUGUAAACAAGCAUAGUCGACUAAAAGACAAACAACCAAGACUUGUAGGAGUAGAAAUAAUCAAAGAACAAGGUAGAAAAUAAAGUAAGUAUGUAUAAUUUAUUGAAUUAAUUGAAAAAAACAUACCUGAGCCAAAGAUCCUUUGAUUAUGCGAUUGAAAAAAGAUCCCUUGCCGUCCUUGAGAAUCUUUAAAAUUUUCGGGCCUAGGGCGAGUAAAAAAACGGGCCUCUAAUCACAACCGAGCCAAUUCGAGCUUCGCUUGUCAACAAAUUUGAACUUGAAAUAAGACAUGAAACUAUUAUUUAUAGAGUGUGAAAGACAUUAAAAACAAAUUUUAAGAAAUAAAGCGAUUGAUUAUAUAUACACAUGAUGCUAAAUAAAGUUAAAAAAAAGCCAUUGGCCAUACCAAUAAUGAAUAUGUAUAUAUUUUUAUGCUUCAGUUUACACUUAUGGGCCAAAUCUUAGUGAAUCUAUCUCACUUAAUAAGGAAUCUACCAUGCAUAAAAUAUUAAAAACGCAACUGCUGGGUCUCGAAGCAAAGACCUAUGCAGUGUUUCGAGAUGGUAUUUCCAACUAG
rnacentral:lncRNA from 1 species